GCUCGAUUAACUCAGUGGUAGAGUGUCACCUCGACAAGGUGAAAGUCACUGGUUCGAAUCCAGUAUCGAGCACCA
rnacentral:tRNA from 1 species